CUCCCAGGGGAGCUACCUGUCCGCAGGGCCGCAGCGCCACUCUUCCCACGGAGCCCACAGGCACCCCGGAGCCGGAGGAGUGUUACAUUUUCAUCCAGAUAAUGUCUGCAAUGAGGAUCGGGACAAAAUGGAAGACAGCCCGAGCCCAAAAAGGCAGCGUCUUUCCCAGCAGUCCAUGUUAGAUCUAAGCUCCGCCCCUCCCUCCACUCCUUCCUCUCCCAUUCGCCCGUGGGAGCUGCCUCCGAGCCGCAGACCACACCCCCACUACAUGCCAGAGAGAUGCCACACACCUGUUCGAAAUCGUCGCAGGUUACUGCUCUGUUGUACAUGAUGACUCCAAGGAAGAUGCUGCCAUUCACCGCUGGAGCUCUGCUUCUUCUUUUACCCUGGUUUGGUGGCCUGACCUCUGGAGAGCUCAGCCCGUCAAAAUUUACCAUGUGCCAAAAGUUCUUCUACAACAAAACUCCACCAGAGGGUUUUGGAACAGGACAUCAGGCGAUAUGCCAGCGCUACGAAAAUAAAUACCGCUUUGCAACCCUUUAUGAUCGUCAGAAACGUACAGCACUGUUCUCUGCAUACCUGAUGAGCUCCUCAAAUGAAACAAGGCCAGCUGAAACUUGGAUGUAUGAACCACAGGUAAGAUAUAAGCAAUCAUAACUUCACUGAAACUGAGGACCUAUUGUAUUAUUGUUAAGAAUAUCCAAGUAGGAAUGUUCACACACAGGUGCUUGUAUUUUGUAAAAUAAAUAAAUAAAAUCCUUGGCAGUCUGUCUGAAACAUAACACACAUUUUCAUCGUCUGAAGAGUAGACACA